GAUGAACGCUGGCGGCGUGCCUAAUACAUGCAAGUCGAGCGAACAGACGAGGAGCUUGCUCCUCUGACGUUAGCGGCGGACGGGUGAGUAACACGUGGAUAACCUACCUAUAAGACUGGGAUAACUUCGGGAAACCGGAGCUAAUACCGGAUAAUAUAUUGAACCGCAUGGUUCAAUAGUGAAAGACGGUUUUCCUGUCACUUAUAGAUGGAUCCGCGCCGCAUGAGCUAUUUGGUAGGGUACGGCCGACCAAGGCAACGAGGCCUAGCCGACCUGAGAGGGUGAUCGGCCACACUGGAACUGAGACACGGUCCAGACUCCUACGGGAGGCAGCAGAAGGGAAUCUUCCGAAAUGGGCGAAAGCCUGACGGAGCAACGCCGCGUGAGUGAUGAAGGUCUUCGGAUCGUAAAACUCUGUUAUUAGGGAAGAAAAAAUGUGUAAGUAACUAUGCACGUCUUGACGGUACCUAAUCAGAAAGCCACGGCUAACUACGUG
rnacentral:rRNA from 1 species